AUGACUAUUGUCAAUGGCGAGUUACACCGUUGCAGUGUCUCAGGGGCGUUUCAGCGUUGUGUUUCCCCUGAAGAAGGCUGUGAGAUCUUGCGUGAAAUCCACGAAGGAGAUUGUGGUCAUCAUGCCGGUUCAAAAUCCUUGGUGGCUAAGGCUUUUCGGCACGGUUUUUAUUGGUUAACGGCCCAUGCUGAUGCGGAGGAUCUGGUCAGAAAGUGUGAUGGAUGUCAGAAGUUUGCACGUCGAGCUCAUGUUCCGGCUCAGGAAUUGAGGAUGAUUCCAAUCACCUGGCCGUUUGCAACUUGGGGGUUGGAUAUGGUUGGGACUUUUAAGAGGUCUAAGGAUAAGUAG
rnacentral:rRNA from 1 species